CUCAUGGUACACAGUGUAUAGGAUGGACUGGAGAGAAGGCAAGGGAAGCUGGAGUUUCUAGAGGCAGGAAGGUUAGUUUAGAGGGUAUGAACAUGAUUUGCCAAAGAGGUAAUAAGGUUUGGACUACAUUUAUGUCAGCAAAGAGGAGAGGACAGAUUAAUUCAUUCAAUAAGUGAUUGAGUAGAUACCUACUGGUGUCAGGCAUUGUUCUAGGCACUGGGAAUACAGCAGCAAACAAAAUAGAU
rnacentral:lncRNA from 10 species